rnacentral:rRNA from 1 species
GACGAACCGAGCGAACGUUAUUCGGAAUCACUGGGCUUAAAGGGCGCGUAGGCGGGCCGCCAAGUCAGGGGUGAAAGCCCCCAGCUCAACUGGGGAAGUGCCUUUGAUACUGGCGGUCUCGAGGGGGAUAGGGGCGUGCGGAACUUCCGGUGGAGCGGUGAAAUGCGUAGAUAUCGGAAGGAACACCGGUGGCGAAAGCGGCGCGCUGGAUCCCUUCGUGACGCUGAGGCGCGAAAGCCAGGGGAGCGAACGGG